UUGAAAAACCUCUUCCUAUGCGAUCAAAGAAGUUAAGCAACGUUGAGUCUGGUCAGUACCGAGAUGGGUAACCGCUUAGGAAUACUGGGUACUGA